rnacentral:rRNA from 1 species
UACGUAGGGGGCUAGCGUUGUCCGGAAUCAUUGGGCGUAAAGCGCGUGUAGGCGGUCCGGUAAGUCCGCUGUGAAAGUCGGGGGCUCAACCCUCGGAUGCCGGUGGAUACUGUCGGGCUUGAGUACGGAAGAGGCGAGUGGAAUUCCUGGUGUAGCGGUGAAAUGCGUAGAUAGUCAGGAGGAAUACCGAUGGCGAAGGCAGGUCUCUGGGCUGAAACUGACGCUCAUGCACGAAAGCGUGGGGAGCAAACAGGA